AUCACCUAAGGAUCUUGGUAAAAUUCUGAUCCAUGAUCUGGGUGUGGCCUGAGAUUCUGCAUUUCUAGCAAGUUUCUAAGAGAUGCU
rnacentral:pre_miRNA from 1 species